CUUUGAUACUAUGCUCUAAGUGACCUACAUUAAAAAAAAUACUGGAAUUUAUUGAAUUUGGAUGUAGAGCUCCUCUUAUAAAUAUUAUACUGUUUGUCCACUGACUACCAUUGACAAAAUUUAGUAAUCCAUUCUGUUUAUAAACUUCUUUCAGGUAAAUAAGACUUUGUGUAAAACAUCAGCUGUUGAAAUGGAUGAAGACCUUAACAAUUCUUAAUUAUGGAAGAUGUAUUUGUCAUUGAUUAAUACAGUUCUCUCAAAUUCUCUUCUGUGGACACUGCUGCUAAGAAGCAUCUGGCAUGGUAUCUCUGAAAGAAGUAUUUGCAGGCAUAUUUCAGUUAUUGCUAAAAGCUGGUUACAGAAAAAUAGAAAACAUAAAGAAGAUUUACUUUAUUUUGGACAAAGGAAACUGUAAAGCAACCGCAAAGCAAUUGUUAACAAAAAGUCCUUUUAUGCCACCAUUGUAACUUUGUUCAAAAUUACAUUUUGUUUGAUACUUUGAAAAAAAAAAGGACAAAAUACCUUCAUGAAGGGUAAGUGGUUCUGCAUUUCAAACUUGCUGGUCUAUGUACCUUUAAGAUCAGUCAAGCCCGCAUGGAGUUGUGUUACAUAUGGGUCAGGCUUAUUAUGUUAUUAUUUGAGUUUAUCGUCAAGUAAGUGAGACAGGGAUUUAUUCAUGGACCACCCUGUUUAAGCCAUUUCUUGUCUUAAAGAAACCAAACCCAAGUAUUCCCACAAGUAUUGAAUACACUCUGCUGCUUUGACUUCAGAAAAAGACCACCUCUGUUAAGCAGUGAUUUAUUUUUUUUGUUGGUCUCUUGGGUGACCACUGAUGGCAGAUUUUCCUGUGUUUCCUAUGGUAGAAGCAAUAUGUUCUGAAAUAUUUUGGUUAUGUUUAAAGUAUAUGUAUGAAAAUGUGAUAUAUGGCAAAGUUAUGUAUUGCAAAAAAUAAUAUUGAUAUGCAUAUUGGAUAUAUCAAGAGGAAAUGUGGAAGAUAUUUUCAUAAGCAUAUGUUCUACUUUAUUUAAAAGAUGAAUAUUGGAGGGGAUGGGAACACUUAUGAAAACGUAUAGAAGCCUUUUAAAGUGUGUUGAAGCAGUUUUUCUGAUAAAUGUUUGGAAAAUAUCCAAAAAUGUUAUGGUACAUA
rnacentral:lncRNA from 1 species